AGCGAACGCUGGCGGCAGGCCUAACACAUGCAAGUCGAACGAACCUUUCGGGGUUAGUGGCGGACGGGUGAGUAACACGUGGGAACGUGCCUUUAGGUUCGGAAUAACUCAGGGAAACUUGUGCUAAUACCGAAUGUGCCCUUCGGGGGAAAGAUUUAUCGCCUUUAGAGCGGCCCGCGUCUGAUUAGCUAGUUGGUUGAGGUAAUGGCUCACCAAGGCGACGAUCAGUAGCUGGUCUGAGAGGAUGAUCAGCCACAUUGGGACUGAGACACGGCCCAACCUCCUACGGGAGGCAGCAGUGGGGAAUCUUGCGCAAUGGGCGAAAGCCUGACGCAGCCAUGCCGCGUGAAUGAUGAAGGUCUUAGGAUUGUAAAAUUCUUUCACCGGGGACGAUAAUGACGGUACCCGGAGAAGAAGCCCCGGCUAACUUCGU
rnacentral:rRNA from 1 species